UUGAACGCUGGCGGCAGGCCUAACACAUGCAAGUCGAACGGUAACAGAAAGCAGCUUGCUGCUUUGCUGACGAGUGGCGGACGGGUGAGUAAUGUCUGGGAAACUGCCUGAUGGAGGGGGAUAACUACUGGAAACGGUAGCUAAUACCGCAUAACGUCGCAAGACCAAAGAGGGGGACCUUAGGGCCUCUUGCCAUCGGAUGUGCCCAGAUGGGAUUAGCUAGUAGGUGGGGUAACGGCUCACCUAGGCGACGAUCCCUAGCUGGUCUGAGAGGAUGACCAGCCACACUGGAACUGAGACACGGUCCAGACUCCUACGGGAGGCAGCAGUGGGGAAUAUUGCACAAUGGGCGCAAGCCUGAUGCAGCCAUGCCGCGUGUAUGAAGAAGGCCUUCGGGUUGUAAAGUACUUUCAGCGGGGAGGAAGGGAGUAAAGUUAAUACCUUUGCUCAUUGACGUUACCCGCAGAAGAAGCACCGGCUAACUCCGUGCCAGCAGCCGCGGUAAUACGGAGGGUGCAAGCGUUAAUCGGAAUUACUGGGCGUAAAGCGCACGCAGGCGGUUUGUUAAGUCAGAUGUGAAAUCCCCGGGCUCAACCUGGGAACUGCAUCUGAUACUGGCAAGCUUGAGUCUCGUAGAGGGGGGUAGAAUUCCAGGUGUAGCGGUGAAAUGCGUAGAGAUCUGGAGGAAUACCGGUGGCGAAGGCGGCCCCCUGGACGAAGACUGACGCUCAGGUGCGAAAGCGUGGGGGGCAAACAGGAUUAGAUACCCUGGUAGUCCACGCCGUAAACGAUGUCGACUUGGAGGUUGUGCCCUUGAGGCGUGGCUUCCGGAGCUAACGCGUUAAGUCGACCGCCUGGGGAGUACGGCCGCAAGGUUAAAACUCAAAUGAAUUGACGGGGGCCCGCACAAGCGGUGGAGCAUGUGGUUUAAUUCGAUGCAACGCGAAGAACCUUACCUGGUCUUGACAUCCACGGAAGUUUUCAGAGAUGAGAAUGUGCCUUCGGGAACCGUGAGACAGGUGCUGCAUGGCUGUCGUCAGCUCGUGUUGUGAAAUGUUGGGUUAAGUCCCGCAACGAGCGCAACCCUUAUCCUUUGUUGCCAGCGGUCCGGCCGGGAACUCAAAGGAGACUGCCAGUGAUAAACUGGAGGAAGGUGGGGAUGACGUCAAGUCAUCAUGGCCCUUACGACCAGGGCUACACACGUGCUACAAUGGCGCAUACAAAGAGAAGCGACCUCGCGAGAGCAAGCGGACCUCAUAAAGUGCGUCGUAGUCCGGAUUGGAGUCUGCAACUCGACUCCAUGAAGUCGGAAUCGCUAGUAAUCGUGGAUCAGAAUGCCACGGUGAAUACGUUCCCGGGCCUUGUACACACCGCCCGUCACACCAUGGGAGUGGGUUGCAAAAGAAGUAGGUAGCUUAACCUUCGGGAGGGCGCUUACCACUUUGUGAUUCAUGACUGGGGUG
rnacentral:rRNA from 1 species